GUGAGACAGCGCCGCGGGGGGGCGGGGCCUGGCGGGGCGGAGAGGCGGACUCCGGGCUGCGUUUCCGGUUUGUAGCUGAGGAUCUGCACCGUGAUCCGCAGAGCUGGUGUUUGAAUGUGGGACAAGGUGUGGACCUGAGGCCCCCUCUCCACUCGAAUGUCUCUAACUGGCAGCACGUACCGUGUCUGGGUCUUGUUUUUAUUCUACCCGACAGCCUGCCUCUACCUGAGAAGGUUAGGUGGUUAGAAGGUCUACAUUUACUGUGAUUACUGAGUGCGGGGGAUCGAACUCAGGACCUUGCACUUCCUUUCGAGGCCGGCACAGUGCCACUGAGCUAAAUCCCUGGCCCACGGUUCUCUUGAUCAAGUAACACCACCAGACAACUACUCCUUAGGAUUCUGGCUUUUCUUUUAAAGAUUUUUUUUUACAUAGAGUAAUUCCUAAGUGCUGUAGUUUCCCCUUUUAUCAAAGGGGUACUUCAAGAAAUCAGCUUUGUGCAGUUCCCAAGUUACUGUAAAAAUAAUUGAGAAUGUCAAUGAUGACUUCACUAGAUUGAGUCCUGUAAUAAAGCUCUCCAUGGCAAGUUCCUUUCAGAAUUCUGGGUAGGGAAGCCUUUUUUCCUUCAGGAAUUCUUCCUCUUUUCUGAUGAUACGACUGUGUAAUCGUGCACCUUUCCCCCGAGCUCAGAGACACACAGGGCAAACACUGACGCUGGAGCUCGAUUAUGCUGGACUUCACUUACAUACUUUGGUUCUUCUUUCAGUUAAUGCUAACUUUCUACCACUAAUGAGGAUUAAAGAAUAUACAGUUUUAUUGUCUGUUUUACAUGGAGUUGCUCCUAAACAUUUUUCAAUGAAGUAGAAAAGUGUGAAUUUUAUUUAUAUGGGGG
rnacentral:lncRNA from 1 species